UAAAAGGGCUCCUGUCAUGAGUGGCACACGUGGGGCAACUCAACUGCUCUUCGUGCGGAAUCAACAUCAAGAUAUUUCAGAAGCAUAAUUUUUUGGUACUGGGUAGCUGGUGAACGUUGCUCCCAGCACCCGG